AGGAACGCUGGCGGCGUGCUUAACACAUGCAAGUCGAACGGUGACGAGGAGCUUGCUCCUCUGAUCAGUGGCGAACGGGUGAGUAACACGUGAGCAACCUGCCCCAGACUCUGGGAUAACAGUUGGAAACAGCUGCUAAUACCGGAUACGAGACGGAGAGGCAUCUCUACCGUCUGGAAAGUUUUUCGGUCUGGGAUGGACUCGCGGCCUAUCAGCUAGUUGGUGAGGUAAUGGCUCACCAAGGCGACGACGGGUAGCCGGCCUGAGAGGGCGACCGGCCACACUGGGACUGAGACACGGCCCAGACUCCUACGGGAGGCAGCAGUGGGGAAUAUUGCACAAUGGGCGAAAGCCUGAUGCAGCGACGCCGCGUGAGGGAUGACGGCCUUCGGGUUGUAAACCUCUUUCAGCAGGGAAGAAGCGAAAGUGACGGUACCUGCAGAAGAAGCACCGGCUAACUACGUG
rnacentral:rRNA from 1 species